UGUUGACACAUAAAAAUUCAGCCCAAAUCGAACAGCCCAGAGAGUAAAGCCCAAUUGGAGGAUCCCCAAAUCAGACAGCCCAAAGAACGAAAUCCAAUUGAACGAAUCAAGGUGAAUGCCCAAAUAAGGGGCCCAAUAGUGCGGUAACGCCAUCGCCCAAGUUUGUAAGUCGCUCAGAAUCUGAACGAAUAGAGUGGCAUACGGUCGCCCAGAGUCUCGCCCAAAUCUUCAAGUCGCCCAAGGUAUCAACAAACAUAACGCAUUAUGAUUGUCAAGAAAUGCAGUUAUUGAGGC
rnacentral:lncRNA from 1 species